rnacentral:rRNA from 1 species
GAUGAACGCUGGCGGCGUGCCUAAUACAUGCAAGUCGAACGAGGUGCUUUUGUAGCAAUACGAAAGUAUCCUAGUGGCGAACGGGUGAGUAACGCGUUGGUGACCUACCCCAAAGUGUGGGAUAACAGUUCGAAAGAACUGCUAAUACCGCAUGUGGUUAUCAGGUUUAGAAACUGAUAACUAAAGGAGCAAUUCGCUUUGGGAGGGACCUGCGUCCCAUCAGCUAGUUGGUGAGGUAACGGCUCACCAAGGCGACGACGGGUAGGGGACCUGAGAGGGUGACCCCCCACAAUGGAACUGAACACGGUCCAUACACCUACGGGUGGCAGCAGUAGGGAAGUAUUGCACAAUGGGCGAAAGCCUGAUGCAGCAACGCCGCGUGUGCGAUGAAGGCCUCGGUCGGUAAGACACUUUCUUGUAGAGA